AUUGAACGCUGGCGGCAGGCCUAACACAUGCAAGUCGAACGGCAGCACGGGGGAGCUUACUCCCUGGGUGGCGAGUGGCGGACGGGUGAGGAAUACAUCGGAAUCUACCCUUUCGUGGGGGAUAACGUAGGGAAACUUACGCUAAUACCGCAUACGAUCUGAGGAUGAAAGCAGGGGACCGCAAGGCCUCGCGCGAUUGGAUGAGCCGAUGUCCGAUUAGCUAGUUGGCGGGGUAAAGGCCCACCAAGGCGACGAUCGGUAGCUGGUCUGAGAGGAUGGUCAGCCACACGGGAACUGAGACACGGUCCAGACUCCUCCGGGAGGCAGCAGUGGGGAAUAUUGGACUAUGGGCGGAAGCCUGGUCCAGACAUGCCGCGUGUGUGAAGAAGGCCUUCGGGUUGUAAAGCACUUUUGUUGGGAAAGAAAUCCUGUCGGCUAAUACCCGGCGGGGAUGACGGUACCCAAAGAAUAAGCACCGGCUAACUUCGUGCCAGCCGCCGCUGUAA
rnacentral:rRNA from 1 species